AUAGUCAUCUGGCUGAGGUGAGGUUACAUUGUUCGCAAUAUUUAUUGUUGAUUUUUUUUUUCCCUCGGGCUGAGGAUCAUCCAUUCCAUUUUGGAUGUUUGUGCCUACCAUUUUCACAAGUGUGGGAAACUUGACUGCUUAAUUUGUGGUAUUGAGGAACUUCAU
ensembl:snRNA U1 U1 spliceosomal RNA